UUUUUGCUUGUUUAUUAUUGAAAGAUCCCCGGAGCGGGGAGACCCUCACUCAAGUCUCGGGAUGAUGAGACCCCCCAAGAACUCACGUGAGACC
rnacentral:pre_miRNA from 14 species